rnacentral:rRNA from 1 species
CCUACGGGAGGCAGCAGUGGGGAAUAUUGCGCAAUGGGCGAAAGCCUGACGCAGCGACGCCGCGUGAGGGAUGAAGGUCUUCGGAUCGUAAACCUCUGUCAGCAGGGAAGAACGGUCACUGUGCUAAUCAGCAGUGAAUUGACGGUACCUGCAAAGGAAGCACCGGCUAACUCCGUGCCAGCAGCCGCGGUAAUACGGAGGGUGCGAGCGUUAAUCGGAAUUACUGGGCGUAAAGCGCUCGUAGGCGGUAUGUCAAGUCAAGGGUGAAAUCCCCGGGCGAAAAGUGGGAAGUGCCUUUGAAACUGGCAGACUUGAGUGUGUGAGAGGAUAGUGGAAUUCCAGGUGUAGCAGUGAAAUCCGGAGAUAUCUGGAGGAACAUCAGUGGCGAAGGCGACUAUCUGGCACAUAACUGACGCUGAGGAGCGAAAGCGUGGGUAGCAAACAGGAUUAGAUACCCCAGUAGUC